GAUGAACGCUGGCGGCGUGCCUAAUACAUGCAAGUCGAGCGAACGGACGAGAAGCUUGCUUCUCUGAUGUUAGCGGCGGACGGGUGAGUAACACGUGGAUAACCUACCUAUAAGACUGGGAUAACUUCGGGAAACCGGAGCUAAUACCGGAUAAUAUUUUGAACCGCAUGGUUCAAAAGUGAAAGACGGUCUUGCUGUCACUUAUAGAUGGAUCCGCGCUGCAUUAGCUAGUUGGUAAGGUAACGGCUUACCAAGGCAACGAUGCAUAGCCGACCUGAGAGGGUGAUCGGCCAGACUGGAACUGAGACACGGUCCAGACUCCUACGGGAGGCAGCAGUAGGGAAUCUUCCGCAAUGGGCGAGAGCCUGACGGAGCAACGCCGCGUGAAUGAUGAAGGUCUUCGGAUCGUAAAACUCUGUUAUUAGGGAAGAACAUAUGUGUAAGUAACUGUGCACAUCUUGACGGUACCUAAUCAGAAAGCCACGGCUAACUACGUG
rnacentral:rRNA from 1 species